AAAAAGGUCUUCUGUUGUGAGUGACACAUAGAGCAGCCUAAUUACUCUCUGUGUGGAAUUGACAUCAAGAGAUUUCAGAAACAUAAUUUUUUGGUACGUGGGCAGCUGGUGAUAGUUGGUCCUGGGCCCAA
rnacentral:snRNA from 1 species